AGUGAACGCUGGCGGUAGGCCUAACACAUGCAAGUCGAACGGCAGCACAGUAAGAGCUUGCUCUUACGGGUGGCGAGUGGCGGACGGGUGAGGAAUACAUCGGAAUCUACUUUUUCGUGGGGGAUAACGUAGGGAAACUUACGCUAAUACCGCAUACGACCUACGGGUGAAAGCAGGGGAUCUUCGGACCUUGCGCGAUUGAAUGAGCCGAUGUCGGAUUAGCUAGUUGGCGGGGUAAAGGCCCACCAAGCCGACGAUCCGUAGCUGGUCUGAGAGGAUGAUCAGCGACACUGGAACUGAGACACGGUCCAGACUCCUACGGGAGGCAGAAGUGGGGAAUAUUGGACAAUGGGCGCAAGCCUGAUCCAGCCAUACCGCGUGGGUGAAGAAGGCCUUCGGGUUGUAAAGCCCUUUUGUUGGGAAAGAAAAGCAGCAGGUUAAUACCCCGCUGUUCUGACGGUACCCAAAGAAUAAGCACCGGCUAACUUCGUG
rnacentral:rRNA from 1 species